rnacentral:rRNA from 1 species
GGCCUAUUGAAUUUAAUUUUAGGUCGAUCUGCCCAAUGAUGAUUUAUUGAAUGGCUGCAGUAUAACUAACUGUACGAAGGUAGCAUAAUAAAUUGUUUUUUAAUUGAAAACUAGAAUGAAAGAAUUGAUGAAAUAUAUACUGUCUCAUAUAUAUAUAUUAUGAAUUUAAAAUUUUAGUAAAAAUGCUGAGAUAUUUUUAUGGGACGAUAAGACCCUAUAGAAUUUUAUAUUAAUAUAAAUUUUAAUAAAAUUUAUAUUAAUAUUUUGUUGGGAGGAUUAAUGAAUUUAAGUAACUUUGUUUUAAAUUUAAACUUUAAUUUAAGAAUAAUUUAUUUGAUCUUGUAUUAUUAAUUAAAAGAAAAAAUUACCUUAGGGAUAACAGCGUAAUAUCUUUUUUAAGAUCAAAUUAAUAAAGAUGAUUGCGACCUCGAUGUUGAAUUAAGAUAAAUUUUAAAUGUAGAAGUUUAAUAAUUGAGUCUGUUCGACUUUUAAAAUCUUACAUGAUUUGAGUUCAAAUCGACGUGAGU